UACAGAGGGUGCAAGCGUUUAAUCGGAAUUACUGGGCGUAAAGCGUGCGCAGACGGUUGCGUAAGUCAGAUGUGAAAGCCCCGGGCUCAACCUGGGAAUUGCAUUUGAGACUGCGUAGCUAGGGUGCGGAAGAGGGAAGCGGAAUUUCCGGUGUAGCGGUGAAAUGCGUAGAUAUCGGAAGGAACACCAGUGGCGAGAGCGGCUUCCUGGUCCAGCACCGACGUUCAGGCACGAAAGCGUGGGGAGCAAACAGG
rnacentral:rRNA from 1 species